CCGCCCAGCGUACUCCUCUCUUGCAGAACUUGCAUACAGGUGCUGCACGGCUGUCGUCAGCUCGUGUCGUGAGAUGUUGGGUUAAGUCCCGCAACGAGCGCAACCCUCGUCCUUAGUUGCUAACAGUUCGGCUGAGAACUCUAAGGAGACUGCCUACGCAAGUAGGAGGAAGGUGAGGAUGACGUCAAGUCAUCAUGGCCCUUACGUCCAGGGCUACACACGUGCUACAAUGGGGUAUACAAAGAGCAGCAAUACGGUGACGUGGAGCAAAUCUCAAAAAUGCCUCCCAGUUCGGAUUGUAGUCUGCAACUCGACUACAUGAAGUUGGAAUCGCUAGUAAUCGUAGAUCAGCUAUGCUACGGUGAAUACGA
rnacentral:rRNA from 1 species